UGCAAGUCGAGCGAACGGAUAAGGAGCUUGCUCCUUUGAAGUUAGCGGCGGACGGGUGAGUAACACGUGGGUAACCUACCUAUAAGACUGGAAUAACUUCGGGAAACCGGAGCUAAUGCCGGAUAACAUUUGGAACCGCAUGGUUCUAAAGUAAAAGAUGGUUUUGCUAUCACUUAUAGAUGGACCCGCGCCGUAUUAGCUAGUUGGUAAGGUAACGGCUUACCAAGGCAACGAUACGUAGCCGACCUGAGAGGGUGAUCGGCCACACUGGAACUGAGACACGGUCCAGACUCCUACGGGAGGCAGCAGUAGGGAAUCUUCCGCAAUGGACGAAAGUCUGACGGAGCAACGCCGCGUGAGUGAUGAAGGUUUUCGGAUCGUAAAACUCUGUUAUUAGGGAAGAACAAAUGUGUAAGUAACUGUGCACAUCUUGACGGUACCUAAUCAGAAAGCCACGGCUAACUACGUGCCAGCAGCCGCGGUAAUACGUAGGUGGCAAGCGUUAUCCGGAAUUAUUGGGCGUAAAGCGCGCGUAGGCGGUUUCUUAAGUCUGAUGUGAAAGCCCACGGCUCAACCGUGGAGGGUCAUUGGAAACUGGGAAACUUGAGUACAGAAGAGGAAAGUGGAAUUCCAUGUGUAGCGGUGAAAUGCGCAGAGAUAUGGAGGAACACCAGUGGCGAAGGCGACUUUCUGGUCUGUAACUGACGCUGAUGUGCGAAAGCGUGGGGAUCAAACAGGAUUAGAUACCCUGGUAGUCCACGCCGUAAACGAUGAGUGCUAAGUG
rnacentral:rRNA from 1 species